UACAGAGGUCUCAAGCGUUGUUCGGAAUUACUGGGCGUAAAGGGUGCGCAGGCCGCGCGGGCAGUCAAAUGUGUAAUUCAGGGGCUCAACCCCUGCACUGCGCUUGAUACUUCCGCGCUAGAACUUUGGAGAGGAGUCUGGAAUUCUCGGUGUAGCAGUGAAAUGCGUGGAUAUCGAGAAGAACACUAAGGGCGUAGGCAAGACUCUGGACAAAUGUUGACGCUCAUGCACGAAGGCUAGGGUAGCGAACGGG
rnacentral:rRNA from 1 species